rnacentral:rRNA from 1 species
CACGUAGGGCGCGAGCGUUGUCCGGAAUUAUUGGGCGUAAAGAGCUCGUAGGCGGUUUGUCGCGUCGGCCGUGAAAUCUCCACGCUUAACGUGGAGCGUGCGGUCGAUACGGGCAGACUUGAGUUCGGUAGGGGAGACUGGAAUUCCUGGUGUAGCGGUGAAAUGCGCAGAUAUCAGGAGGAACACCGGUGGCGAAGGCGGGUCUCUGGGCCGAUGACUGACGCUGAGGAGCGAAAGCGUGGGGGAGCGAACAGG